UGUGACUUGGUACCUACUGAAGCUAAAAUGGCAAUGCUAUACAUGGAUGGCAUGCAGCAUAACAAACCAAUUCAACCAGAGUUUUCCUGGGGUAGCCAUCGAAAGGAACGCAGGAAGGAAAAGUCCAUUGACCCUGAACCCAUGAGUGAAGAAUCAGUGCCUUUGGUAACGGAUAUUGGUGUUGGACAUGCUCACAUUACAGAUGACGACGAUGAUUUUGUGGAUCCUCCACAAUGAUGUGAGAUGACAUCCCAUCAGGAAACACCUCGUGCUGAUGAAGGCCCUUCAGUUGCCCAACAUUCUCCAAAUGAGCCACAAUAUCAUGGGACGCAAUGGAGUGCUGUACUUCACGAGUUGAAAGUGCAAAUAUCAUAACUUAAGUCACAAAAUAAAUUAUUAAUCAUGGAGAUGGACGCCAUCAAGUCAUAAAUGUCGAGCCUCAACGUUGAUCAGACUAACAAGAUGACUGAAAUCAUCCUAAUGCAAGGACGGUUAAAAUGUGACAUGACUGAGAUUAGGACGAACAUGUAAUUCCUGUUUGAAUCCGUGACUGCAAUGAUUUCAAAUUCAAUGGAUGAGACUUUAAGGCGAUUCAAUGACAGGAAAGGUUGUCAUGUUAAUGAGUUUGGAGUUACGAAAGCAGCUGUAGUUGGAAGUGAAGAAAGUCAUGUUGCGGAGGAUUCGACAAUAUUGACAAGGUGGAAAAACUAGAACCCAUUGUCAAUAGGAAAGGGAAGGGAAAGGUCGACCCAUAUGACGAUGUUGUUUUUCCAUGUAGUCUUCAACUGCCAUCAUUUGACUUGGGUAUCGGAUACACACAACUGAAUGAUUAGCAUUCUGCAAAAAUUCAG